rnacentral:rRNA from 1 species
UAUGUAACCUACCUUGUUCAGGGGGAUAGCCUCUCGAAAGAGAGAUUAAGACCGCAUAAAAUCACAAUGUGGCAUCACAAAAUGAUCAAAUAUUUAUAGGAACAAGAUGGGCAUGCGGAACAUUAGCUAGUUGGUGAGGUAACGGCUCACCAAGGCGACGAUGUUUAGGGGAUCUGAGAGGAUGGCCCCCCACACUGGUACUGAGACACGGACCAGACUCCUACGGGAGGCAGCAGUAAGGAAUAUUGGUCAAUGGACGAAAGUCUGAACCAGCCAUGCCGCGUGCAGGAAGACGGCCCUAUGGGUUGUAAACUGCUUUUGCAGGGGAAUAAACCUCUCUACGUGUAGAGAGUUGAAUGUACUCUGAGAAUAAGGAUCGGCUAACUCCGUGCCAGCAGCCGCGGUAAUACGGAGGAUCCGAGCGUUAUCCGGAUUUAUUGGGUUUAAAGGGUGCGUAGGUGGCCUGUUAAGUCAGGGGUGAAAGACGGUAGCUCAACUAUCGCAGUGCCCUUGAUACUGAUGGGCUUGAAUAAACUAGAGGUAGGCGGAAUGUGACAAGUAGCGGUGAAAUGCAUA